rfam:Alligator mississippiensis ScZkoYb_5, whole genome shotgun sequence.
UCAACGGCUCUUUUAAGAGCCACCCACAUUCACGACAGAAGAGUUG